CCUACGGGGCGCAGCAGUAGGGAAUCUUCCGCAAUGGACGAAAGUCUGACGGAGCAACGCCGCGUGAGUGAUGAAGGUUUUCGGAUCGUAAAGCUCUGUUGUUAGGGAAGAACAAGUGCCGUUCAAAUAGGGCGGCACCUUGACGGUACCUAACCAGAAAGCCACGGCUAACUACGUGCCAGCAGCCGCGGUAAUACGUAGGUGGCAAGCGCUGUCCGGAAUUAUUGGGCGUAAAGGGCUCGCAGGCGGUUUCUUAAGUCUGAUGUGAAAGCCCCCGGCUCAACCGGGGAGGGUCAUUGGAAACUGGGGAACUUGAGUGCAGAAGAGGAGAGUGGAAUUCCACGUGUAGCGGUGAAAUGCGUAGAGAUGUGGAGGAACACCAGUGGCGAAGGCGACUUUCUGGUCUGUAACUGACGCUGAUGUGCGAAAGCGUGGGGAUCAAACAGGAUUAGAUACCCCCGUAGUC
rnacentral:rRNA from 1 species